rnacentral:rRNA from 1 species
AACGAACGCUGGCGGCAUGCCUAACACAUGCAAGUCGAACGAGACCUUCGGGUCUAGUGGCGCACGGGUGCGUAACGCGUGGGAACCUGCCCUUAGGUUCGGAAUAACUCCCCGAAAGGGGUGCUAAUACCGGAUAAUGUCUUCGGACCAAAGAUUUAUCGCCUUUGGAUGGGCCCGCGUUGGAUUAGCUAGUUGGUAGGGUAAAAGCCUACCAAGGCGACGAUCCAUAGCUGGUCUGAGAGGAUGAUCAGCCACACUGGGACUGAGACACGGCCCAGACUCCUACGGGAGGCAGCAGUGGGGAAUAGUGGACAAUGGGCGAAAGCCUGAUGCAGCAAUGCCGCGUGAGUGAUGAAGGCCUUAGGGUUGUAAAGCUCUUUUACCCGGGAUGAUAAUGACAGUACCGGGAGAAUAAGCUCCGGCUAACUCCGUG